UAAACUGUGCCCUGUACAAUGAGUUCUGU
rnacentral:piRNA from 1 species